AUUGAACGCUGGCGGCAUGCCUUACACAUGCAAGUCGAACGGAUCUAGGGGCUUGCUCCUAGGUUAGUGGCGAACGGGUGAGUAAUGCAUCGGAACGUACCCAGUCGUGGGGGAUAACGUAGCGAAAGUUACGCUAAUACCGCAUACGUCCUGAGGGAGAAAGCGGGGGAUCGCAAGACCUCGCGCGAUUGGAGCGGCCGAUGUCGGAUUAGCUAGUUGGUAGGGUAAAAGCCUACCAAGGCAACGAUCCGUAGCUGGUCUGAGAGGAUGAUCAGCCACACUGGGACUGAGACACGGCCCAGACUCCUACGGGAGGCAGCAGUGGGGAAUUUUGGACAAUGGGCGAAAGCCUGAUCCAGCCAUGCCGCGUGAGUGAAGAAGGCCUUCGGGUUGUAAAGCUCUUUCAGACGGAAAGAAAACUUCGAGGUUAAUACCUUCGGAGGAUGACGGUACCGUAAGAAGAAGCACCGGCUAACUACGUGCCAGCAGCCGCGGUAACAC
rnacentral:rRNA from 1 species